AGUCGCGGGAGAAGCGCGCCCUUCGGGGCACGCGGAGACCGGCGGAUGGGUGAGUAACGCGUAGGUAAUCUGCCGUUAGGACUGGGAUAACCCACCGAAAGGUGAGCUAAUACCGGAUGAUGCAGCGGGGCCGCAUGGCCACAGUUGUUAAAUCCCUCGGGAGCCUAACGAUGAACCUGCGUGCCAUUAGCUAGUUGGUAGGGUCAAAGCCUACCAAGGCGAUGAUGGCUAGGGGGUCUGAGAGGAUGAUCCCCCACACUGGGACUGAGACACGGCCCAGACUCCUACGGGAGGCAGCAGUGAGGAAUCUUGCGCAAUGGGGGCAACCCUGACGCAGCCACGCCGCGUGCUGGAAGACGGCCCUAUGGGUUGUAAACAGCUUUUACUGGGGAAGAACCUGGACCUUUCGAGGACCACUGACGGUACCCAGUGAAUAAGCACCGGCUAACUCCGUGCCAGC
rnacentral:rRNA from 1 species